UUCCGGUUGAUCCCGCCGGAGGUUACUGCUAUCGAGGUUCGACUAAGCCAUGCGAGUCGAAUGUAGCAAUACAUGGCGUACUGCUCAGUAACACGUGGACAACCUACCCUUGAGAUGGGAAUAAACCCGGGAAACUGGGUAUAAUACUCGAUAGAUCUCGACUGCUGGAAUGCAUCGAGAUCCAAAGCUCCGGCGCUCAAGGAUGGAUCUGCGGCCUAUCAGGUAGUAGUGGGUGUAGUGUACCUACUAGCCUACGACGGGUACGGGUUGUGAGAGCAAGAGCCCGGAGAUGGAUUCUGAGACACGAAUCCAGGCCCUACGGGGUGCAGCAGGCGCGAAAACUUUACAAUGCUGGAAACAGCGUUAAGGGGACCUCGAGUGCCAGGUUACAAAUCUGGCUGUCGUGAUGCCUAAAAAGCAUUGCAUAGCAAGGGCCGGGCAAGACCGGUGCCAGCCGCCGCGGUAACACCGGCGGCUCGAGUGGUAACCUUUAUUAUUGGGUCUAAAGGGUCUGUAGCCGGCCGGAUAAGUCUCUUGGGAAAUCUGGCAGCUUAACUGUCAGGCUUUCAGGAGAUACUGUCUGGCUCGAGGCCGGGAGAGGUGAGAGGUACUUCAGGGGUAGGGGUGAAGUCUUGUAAUCCUUGAAGGACCACCAGUGGCGAAGGCGUCUCACCAGAACGGACCUGACGGCAAGGGACGAAAGCUAGGGGCACGAACCGGAUUAGAUACCCGGGUAGUCCUAGCCGUAAACGAUACUCGCUAGGUGUCGGCAACGGUGCGACCGUUGUCGGUGCCGUAGGGAAGCCGUGAAGCGAGCCACCUGGGAAGUACGGCCGCAAGGCUGAAACUUAAAGGAAUUGGCGGGGGAGCACCACAACGGGUGGAGCUUGCGGUUUAAUUGGAGUCAACGCCGGAA
rnacentral:rRNA from 1 species